rnacentral:rRNA from 1 species
CGGUUCGACAAGUCUGAUGUGAAAUCUAUGGGCUCAACCCCUAAUCUGCCUCUGAUACUGUCGGGCUUGAGUAUGAGAGAGGUGAGUGGAAUUUCCAGUGUAGCGGUGAAAUGCGUAGAUAUCAGAAGGAACACCUGUGGCGAAAGCGGCUCACUGGAUCAUUACUGACGCUGAGGCGCGAAAGCUAGGGGAGCAAACAGGAUUAGAUACCCUGGUAGUCCUAGCCCUAAACUAUGAUUGCUUGAUGUGGCAUGUACCGCAUCCUGCCGUGUCAAAUCUAACGCUAUACACAAUCCGCGUGGAGAGUACGGUCGCAGGGCUGACACUCAAAAGAUUUGACGGGGGCCCGCACACGCUGUGGAGCGUGUGGUUUAUUUCCACGCAACGCAAAGAACCUUACCUGCGCUCGAAAUGUAGCUCACUCCCGCAGAUGCGUCAGCGUCUACCAUGAAACCUGUAUAUAGGUGCUGCAUGGCUGUCGUCACCUCGGGUCGGGAAAUGUUGGGUUAAUUCCCGCAACAAGCGCAACCUUUAUCUUCAGUU